GGGAGGCAGGUUGGCAAAUAACCCAGGGCGUGGGCUGACCACAUGAAGGUAUCAGCAUGCAGGGCAUCUGGCCCAGCCAAGCCCAAACGCUGGGUGAGUUUAGAGUGGACAGAACCUCCAUGCUAUUUCAGAAGAGGAGAGGGAACUAGCAGAGGAAAAAUGUAUUAAUUCUGAGACUGACCAGGGAGAAACAUCAUAGAAAAAAAGGUGACUAUCAGCCCAGCAGUCCAGAUACUUGGCUGGAGAGUCCAAUACAGAGAGCAGCUUGACCAGAUAAGACUUAUAGCCAGGGAUGGAGUGCUGGCAAGGACAGGGUGAUGACUUUCUGCCAGGGCCAACUGGACCUGGCCAAGCAGGCAGGCGGAGCUCUGGAGGUGGCAGCUGAAAACUCUGGGCCUGGAUGGAUCCUCAGGAAGUGCUUCCACCCCCUCCUCAUCCCCAGGCCCUUCCCAGGCCUCUCACUGCCAUCCAGCCUCCCUCCUCCAUUGUUUCCUCCCACUAACAUUUGUCAGCUGGGCCCAGCAUUCGGCUUGGGGAAACAGACACAUAAAAAGGACUCUGUCCUCAGCUAGCUGGGUCCUUCCCUCCCACUCAGCUCUCCCCUGGGGUUUAGGAAACAGGACUUCAAUGCAUUCUUCUGAUGCUGAUUGAAUUCCUUCCUUCUGGGCAGCUUUGUGUGCCCUUGGCACAAAAUGGGAAAGGGAGCAGGAAGGGUUUAAAAUAGCAUACAACUGGCCAAUUUGCACACCAACAUAGGCUAGCUAUUACAAACCCCAAAAUCCAGGUGAUGCAAUUUGUUCCAACUGUCUUUGGCAUGGGCUUUAGUGUGGGUUUGCAUUUUGAAGAGCAAUGGAAAUAAACAUACCAAGUGCAAAUUCUGUUUCUGUUGCAUGUGUUGGGGCUAUUGCAAGGUGUGGUUGCAAUUCAGGCUGCAACUUGCUUUGGUGUCCGAAUAAAUUGUGGUUGUCAUCCAUUCUUGGCCACAGGUCCCCUCAGAUGACUUGUGGUCAUCGGGUGCUGUUGGAAUCAGCAACUUCUAGGAACCAGAAACUGAGACUGCCAUGAAAGGAAGCCACUUCUGGGCGCGGUAUUUAAAGAUAUGUUCGACAGCUUCUAGAAAUGGCCAACACAGGCUAGAGUCCCGAUUGCAAAUAAAUACUUUUAAUGUAAAACACAUCACUCAUGGAGAGUCCUUCCUUAGACAGUUGAGAGGGCCAGUGUCAUGAAUACAGAGCGUUUAUUUACAAAGAAUGUUUUAAAUCAUUUUAUUAGUUACUAUGUCUGUCAUAACCAGGAAAGAACAGCCAGCUGUCCUGGGAUGUCUGCAUCCACUGCAUCCACUAGGUUCACUUAGUAGUGGCUGAGUAACUCAGAUUUGUGCCUAGGCAAAAUAACAAAUAUAUAGGUCAGGGACCUUCUGGGUGGCUUGGGAAUGACUGCAUGUCAGUUGCACAAAUGUCAAGGGUCUAUAAUAGACUUGCUGUCAAGCUAAGCGUUUUGAGGAGCAUAGGGUCACUACACCUAUAGACAUUUUGUUUCCCUUCUU
rnacentral:lncRNA from 1 species